rnacentral:rRNA from 1 species
CCUACGGGAGGCAGCAGUGAGGAAUAUUGGUCAAUGGGCGUGAGCCUGAACCAGCCAAGCCGCGUGAAGGAAGAAGGCGCCAGGCGUCGUAAACUUCUUUUGUCGGGGGACAAAGGGGGCCACGCGUGGCGUUUUGAAUGUACCCGACGAACAAGCAUCGGCUAACUCCGUGCCAGCAGCCGCGGUAAUACGGAGGAUGCGAGCGUUAUCCGGAUUUAUUGGGUUUAAAGGGUGCGUAGGCGGUCCGGAAAGUGAGCGGUAAAAGUCCGGGGCUCAACCCCGGAGAGCCGGUGAAACUGGCGGACUAGAGACGGCGGGAGGCAGGCGGAAUGCGCGGUGUAGCGGUGAAAUGCAUAGAUAUCGCGAAGAACUCCGAUUGCGAAGGCAGCGUACCGGCGCCGGACUGACGCUGAGGCACGAAAGCGCGGGUAUCGAACAGGAUUAGAUACCCCUGUAGUC